CCUGAGUUCUCCACUGCUGGCAGUCUGGAGACACACCUCGCUCCCUGCUUCCUUCACUGUCUUGUCUGCAGAGCUCUGUUUGGUGGCUCCUCUCUCCCCCUUGUGUCCAGCCACUCUCAGAACACUGCACGAUCAUGAGUGAGCCAGUGCCCAUUGAUAUUCCUGCAGCUGUCGAUACUGGUGUUGCAAUAGCUGGCUUGAUCACAGCCAUGGGCCAAGCCAUGGGUCAAGUUGCUCCGACACAUCGCCAGUGCUUUAUCAUGAUAACGAACGAAUGCAGCAGCUUCUCGCUUUCCAGCCCCAGGUGGUACACCCACAGUGGAAGCUGCGCUUCACCCUUUCCACCCACCAUUCGCUCCCAUGGAGUGGAGAGCGCUCUGUUCAUGAAGACUCCAAACACUGCCUGUGGAUCCAUCGGCGUCGUCACCUACGACCUCCUGAACAAUGACAGCAACCAAACCACAGAAAAAAUUGCUUUAAUGUUCUCCAAUCCCUACGACUUCAACUUGUACUCAAACUGGUACGCAGUGGGAGUCUUUGACAUGAGCAAGGAGUGUGACGAGAAUCUUUAUAAUGAGAUGUAUCAGGGGACGAGUGACUCCUUCAUCAGAAGUAAAGCAGAUGGCAAAGUCUUGAGUUACAGAGGCUCUCAAGUUACCAUAAAGGCAACAAUGUCAGAUGCCUACCAGCCUGUGAUGAAGGUGGAACUUAGUGAGAAUAAGUGAAAUGGGUGAUGAGAGACAGAUUUCACUGUCUAGAUGGUAGAAGAUUGUCAAUGAUAUUUGAAUCAGAGAUCUUUUAAGUGUGGUGGGAUGAGCUGGAACCAAUCCCCCCAACAGCUACUAUCCUAUAAGUCUUUCUCUGUAGCCUGAAACAAUGCUGUCUUCUGGUUUUCCUCUAAUGCAUAUUAUUCUUUAUUUAGGGAAAAGCUCACUAUUUUGCUGGUGACAUAGAGCCCUGAAGCUCCCAAUACUUUAAAAAAACAGCAGUUCUCUUAACUGUAACUCAGACCAAUCAUCAAUAUCAUUAUAUCCUGUACAGAGAUUGAGAUCUGAGUUUGCAUUAAUCCAGGUGGUGAGCUUUGUGUUGUCUGUCGGCUGAAAGGUGUGUUUUAAAGGUGCACCUCAGAAAAGGACACUGCAGUUUCUAGAUUUUGGAAUGAUGUCUAAGAUGGUCCCAAAAGGUUUUUCUCUGCAAAUCUCAUUAAAAUGAUACAAUUCACACUGAAAUGUUGCAGUUAUGUGGAUUUUCACUUUUGAUUGUGAUCUGGAGAGGAGUGGUCAUAAUAGAUUGACUGGAGAUUGCAAAUUCGAGAAGUCUGCACUGCUUAAAAUCCACUCCUGAAGCACAAGAGACACAGAAGACACAAUCAGUUUUCGUAAAAGCAUUUUUUCAACAGUGGCUCUAAUUUUUUGUAACCACUGCCUACAAAAAGCAAACUAAGUCCGUUACUUACACUCUAUCAAAGCGUGUGACUGAAUAACCAAGAAAUCUGACACUGAAUGAUAGAAAUAGGGGGGAUAAAGUAUGUUAAAAAGCAAAUUCAUAAAAGUGUGCUGGUGAGGGAAAAACCAAAAAUAACUAGCAACCUGCUACACAGCAGCCAAAAAUACUUCACAGUGAACCUUGAAUGCUCAGGCAGUCAUCGACAAAAACUUACAAACAGUUCAACAUACUAACUGACACCAUAACACAUAAUUGUGGGUUCACUGCCAUAUUUUUUAAAAGGUCACUGCAGCCACAGUAGGUUGCACGCUGAGCACAGGGCUCCUGAAAUGGCAGCUCACAAGUCACUCUGGCGGAAACUGCUUUCACAGAGAAAACAUAAGAUGGUGUAGAGAAUCCCAUCCUCAGGCAGUGGAAAGGCGUCAGAAUGUCAAGUGAACCUCUCGUAUCCUCGACGAGUGCCUGAAUUUCAUUACUUACAUUAAAUAGUAUCAAACAUUGUUUGUGGUGAAAGGGAACGCUCUGAACUAAAACCUUAGUAGAUAAACAUGGAAGGCUGGAAAUGUCAGGCGGUUCUUGAAAAUCCCCAAAACACACUUCCCUCCAAGUUCUUGCAGCUCCUGCACAUCUGUCCACAAAAUGGCCGGAAUGCAAACAUUCCUCAAGGCCUGUGUGGUGUCAGUAGUCUGAGGGGUUUCCCACACAUAAACCCAGGGGGUAUAACUCAAAUUGGGAACCAAUGGGUUCAAACUGAAAAAGUUGAGUAACCGUUCAAAAGAAAAUCACCUCACAUGGUGAUUAUCUUUGUUGUACUGUUUAAUUAUAAAAACAACAAUUAGAAAAAAUUAUUGCUGGAUGGACAAGUUUUUUUUAACUUGAAAAUCAAAAACUUUAUUUCUGAGUCCGUUUGAAAACAAAUGUAAUGAAUUCAAUUAUUACUAGUUGUCAUUUUUACACUGCUGCCUCAAGCUGCCCCUGUCUCUUACAGAAUUCUGUCACUCAGUUUUGGAAGCCAGCCUUGGUUUCCUCUCAGUACUGUACAGAAUACAUGAUUAAACUUAUUUUCUAGAGUAAAGAUACCAGACCCGGGAUCAUCUGAGUCAGUCCAUCAAGUGUCAUUCUUUCUCACCUUUCUGUCAGUCCCCUUUCACUUCUUAAUGGUUUGAGGAAAUAUUCACUGUUGCUGCUAUGGAGGUCAAAGUUUCUUUUUUUCUUUCUUUCUUUUUUUUUUUAUUGAUGAAGUGAGUACAUAUUCUUGAAAUACCAGUCAAUCACAAUCUGUCAUUUACAUAUUUUAAUGUUAAUCUCAUCUCUGUUCCUCUGUGUUCUAUUUUUCAAGAUCCCACUAUACUUUGUUCAGGGGGUUAGAAGAAAAAUUCUGUGCUGCUG